AUUGAACGCUGGCGGCAGGCCUAACACAUGCAAGUCGAACGAGUGGCGGACGGGUGAGUAAUGUCUGGGAAACUGCCCGAUGGAGGGGGAUAACUACUGGAAACGGUAGCUAAUACCGCAUACCAUCGGAUGUGCCCAGAUGGGAUUAGCUUGUAGGUGAGGUAACGGCUCACCUCGGCGACGAUCCCUAGCUGGUCUGAGAGGAUGACCAGCCACACUGGGACUGAGACACGGUCCAGACUCCUACGGUAGGAAGCAGUGGGGAAUAUGGCACAAUGGGCGCAAGCCUGAGGCAGCCAUGCCGCGUGUAUGAAGAAGGCCUUCGGUUUGUAAAUUACUUUCAGCUGGGAGGCGUUACCCGCAGAAGAAGCACCGGCGAACUACGUGCCAGCAGCCGCGGUAAUAC
rnacentral:rRNA from 1 species